GACGAACGCUGGCGGCGUGCUUAACACAUGCAAGUCGAACGGAAAGGCCCUGCUUUUUUGGGGUUCUCGAGUGGCGAACGGGUGAGUAACACGUGAGCAACCUGCCCUUGACGUUGUGAUAACUUCAGGAAACUGGGGCUAAUACCGGAUAGGAGCUCCUGCUGCAUGGUGGGGGUUGGAAAGUUUCGGCGGUUGGGGAUGGACUCGGGGCUUAUCAGCUUGUUGGUGGGGUACUGGCUUACCAAGGCUUUGGCGGGUAGCCGGCCUGAGAGGGUGAACGGCCACAUUGGGACUGAGAUACGGCCCAGACUCGUACGGGAGGCAGCAGUGGGGAGUAUUGCACAAUGGGCGGAAGCCUGAUGCAGAAACGCCGCGAGCGGGAUGAAGGCCUUCGGGUUGUAAACCGCUUUCGCCUGUGACGAAGCGUGAGUGACGGUAAUGGGUAAAGAAGCACCGGCUAACUACGUG
rnacentral:rRNA from 1 species